rnacentral:rRNA from 1 species
GGUGAACGCUGGCGGCGUGCUUAAGACAUGCAAGUCGAACGGCAGUCUUCGGACUGUAGUGGCGCACGGGUGAGUAACGCGUAACUGACCUACCCCAAAGUCGCGGAUAACGAUUCGAAAGAAUCGCUAAUACGUGAUGUGCUGUCAGAUUGUGUUCUGCCAGUAAAGAUUGAUUGCUUUGGGAUGGGGUUGCGUUCCAUCAGCUAGUUGGUGGGGUACCGGCCCACCAAGGCGACGACGGAUAGCCGGCCGGAGAGGGUGGCCGGCCACAGGGGCACUGAGACACGGGUCCCACUACUACGGGAGGCAGCAGUUAGGAAUCUUCCACAAUGGGCGAAAGCCUGAUGGAGCGACGCCGCGUGAGGGAUGAAGGUCUUCGGAUCGUAAACCUCUGAAUCAGGGACGAAAGACACUUCGGUGGGAUGACGGUACCUGAGUAAUAGCACCGGCUAACUCCGUGCCAGCCGCCGCCGUAAAAC